rnacentral:piRNA from 1 species
UUGUGAUGUCAUAUACUUUCAAAGGUCCCA